rnacentral:rRNA from 1 species
AUGGUGGAGUCGUGGGCCGUCAUUGGGCUGAAUAUACUGGGCCAAGCAGCACCGCGCGGCAGCAACCCAGCAGGCCCAGGCCAGCAAGACCGAGCCCGUCCCCAAGCGCCCCUAUUAACCCCUCGAAUCCGAGCUCCAAUUCCUUGCGGUGCCGCUGCCGCCACCGCCACAGCUCCGACCGAGCCCAGCCGACGCCAGAGACCACCACAGCCUUCUCCGAGGAGAGCAACGGAACCGCCUAGUCAAGCCGAGCCUCUCGAAUUCGAGCUCGAGCACUCGCCGGCACCGCUACAGCUCCGACAGAGCCCAGCCGACGCCAGAGAACACCACCGACGUCUCCCAGGAGAGAAACGGAACGGCCGACUCAAGGCAAAUCUCUUAGACGCCUUCCCGAGCAGCAAGUAUCACCGGAGCCAGCUCAGCGACAAGCCCCAAAGCCGCCGGCGCCGCCUGAACGCCUCUGAUCCAAUAGGUGGGGCAAGGAAGUUGUAUGCUGGAAAUCCAGCUCAAAUUGAGACUGACAUGCUCCCCACAUUGCAAAACAGACGGUGCUUUUCUGUCAGGAUCAAAACGUUCUACAUAUAUGUUGUUGAGAAACUUGCACAGCAUCUUGAACUGCAAGGUCUGAUAACAUUGAGAGUUGGGCCCCGUUCGGGAAUACUCCGCUCCAGGCUCCGCUCCGGGAGCGGACGGAGCUCUAGUACAAAAUCUGGGAGCCAGCAAACCGCCGCUCCGCAGAUUCUAGGAGCUGGUGAAUUCCUGAACGCGGCCUUGCUUUUCACCAAGCUACACACAAUGAGGUGCUGUUUCACGUUAUAUGAUUGCCAAAAGGCAGUCAACAAUAACAAGAUAUGGAAGGUGUACCAGCCAACUGAGAAAAUAGAUGCAGUUCAUGAUCCAAACCUCUUCAUGUUGAGGAGGUUCUCCUACCGUGCGCCCUUGGCCCCGGCUUUAGGUAGCGCCGUGUCCUCGGCUCGUCCCGUGCAUAAUCCCGGUAUGCGUCGACUGUCUGAGCUCCUGCUCACCAUUGGUGGUGCUUGA